rnacentral:rRNA from 1 species
UGGGCGUAGGAAAUUUGAGAGGAGCUGUCCUUAGUACGAGAGGACCGGGAUGGACAUACCUCUGGUGUACCAGUUGUCGUGCCAACGGCAUAGCUGGGUAGCUAUGUGUGGACGGGAUAAGUGCUGAAAGCAUCUAAGCAUGAAGCCCCCCUCAAGAUGAGAUUUCCCAACUUCGGUUAUAAGAUCCCUCAAAGAUGAUGAGGUUAAUAGGUUCGAGGUGGAAGCAUGGUGACAUGUGGAGCUGACGAAUACUAAUCGAUCGAAGACUUAAUCAAAUU